AGGGGCUGUGCGUACCACAUGGCAGGGCAGCGAUGGGGGAAUAGAGCACAACACGCAACUUGAAAGAAAAAAAUGUUCCAGUGCUGCGCUGUAUGGGAAAAAUAAUUCAAAAGCAUCAAAGUUUUGGCUCGGAGACACAGUUUCCACUCAAGCAUGUGACUGGUGCGUCUUCCCUUGCUUUGGGAAGAAGGGGAAAAAAAGAAAAACGCUGAAGAAAAAAUUUCUGCAAUGCAUAUUUUGUGUGGCGAUAAAGCCCCGCAGAUCUGCCCAGCCCGGAAUCAGCAGAACAGCCCCAUUCCUGGGGGAAGGCAGCGAUCGCACGUGAUCCUAAUCUACAACAUCUGCAAGGACCGAGGGAAAGACGCCUCGAGAUAUCGCCCGCGUUCUGAGAGAAAACCCUUCCGCUCCUGCCCAGCCCCGUACCGAGCCCGCGUCCGUCACCUCGGAGCGGGCCGCGCUGUGGCACGCACGCGAGGACGGGCACCGUCGGAGCGCGUGAGGGAAAAGGGCAGAAACAGAGUUAGCAGCCCCUCGGCCGCGAACUCCGGGCUCAGCCGGAGCCCCUCCGGCUCCGCGAGGGGGUGCCGAGCGCGGGGCACGUGCCGGAGGACGGAGCGGAGGGGCCGCGUCGGGCGGCUGUCAGGAGGAGCGCCGGAUCCCGCUCCCGGACACGGAGGUGUCCGCGCUCGGCGCGGCCCGCAGAGGGCACCCGAGAGAUGCGUUCGGAGGCGGCCAGGAACCGCGGCGUCAUUUCUGGUUAGUGAGUUAACUCACUCUUCGUGAGAGAAGAUACCUACCAGAGAUAGUGCGGAGGACAACGCAUGGGAUUGGGCAGUGAGAAGCGUCCGAAGGAGGAAGAGGAGGGAGUAAUACAAGUGGGG
rnacentral:lncRNA from 1 species